UGGGGAAUAUUGGACAAUGGGCGCAAGCCUGAUCCAGCCAUGCCGCGUGGGUGAUGAAGGCCCUAGGGUUGUAAAGCUCUUUCAGCGGGGAAGAUAAUGACGGUACCCGCAGAAGAAGCCCCGGCUAACUUCGUGCCAGCAGCCGCGGUAAUACGAAGGGGGCUAGCGUUGCUCGGAAUUACUGGGCGUAAAGCGCACGUAGGCGGAUUGUUAAGUCGGGGGUGAAAUCCUGGAGCUCAACUCCAGAACUGCCUUCGAUACUGGCGAUCUCGAGUCCGGGAGAGGUGAGUGGAACUGCGAGUGUAGAGGUGAAAUUCGUAGAUAUUCGCAAGAACACCAGUGGCGAAGGCGGCUCACUGGCCCGGUACUGACGCUGAGGUGCGAAAGCGUGGGGAGCAAACA
rnacentral:rRNA from 1 species